rnacentral:rRNA from 1 species
AGAGCCUGAAUCAGUGUGUGUGUUAGUGGAAGCGUCUGGAAAGGCGCGUGAUACAGGGUGACAGCCCCGUACACAAAAAUGCACAUGCUGUGAGCUCGAUGAGUAGGGCGGGACACGUGGUAUCCUGUCUGAAUAUGGGGGGACCAUCCUCCAAGGCUAAAUACUCCUGACUGACCGAUAGUGAACCAGUACCGUGAGGGAAAGGCGAAAAGAACCCCGGCGAGGGGAGUGAAAAAGAACCUGAAACCGUGUACGUACAAGCAGUGGGAGCACGCUUAGGCGUGUGACUGCGUACCUUUUGUAUAAUGGGUCAGCGACUUAUAUUCUGUAGCAAGGUUAACCGAAUAGGGGAGCCGAAGGGAAACCGAGUCUUAACUGGGCGUUAAGUUGCAGGGUAUAGACCCGAAACCCGGUGAUCUAGCCAUGGGCAGGUUGAAGGUUGGGUAACACUAACUGGAGGACCGAACCGACUAAUGUUGAAAAAUUAGCGGAUGACUUGUGGCUGGGGGUGAAAGGCCAAUCAAACCGGGAGAUAGCUGGUUCUCCCCGAAAGCUAUUUAGGUAGCGCCUCGUGAAUUCAUCUCCGGGGGUAGAGCACUGUUUCGGCAAGGGGGUCAUCCCGACUUACCAACCCGAUGCAAACUGCGAAUACCGGAGAAUGUUAUCACGGGAGACACACGGCGGGUGCUAACGUCCGUCGUGAAGAGGGAAACAACCCAGACCGCCAGCUAAGGUCCCAAAGUCAUGGUUAAGUGGGAAACGAUGUGGGAAGGCCCAGACAGCCAGGAUGUUGGCUUAGAAGCAGCCAUCAUUUAAAGAAAGCGUAAUAGCUCACUGGUCGAGUCGGCCUGCGCGGAAGAUGUAACGGGGCUAAACCAUGCACCGAAGCUGCGGCAGCGACGCUUAUGCGUUGUUGGGUAGGGGAGCGUUCUGUAAGCCUGUGAAGGUGUACUGUGAGGUAUGCUGGAGGUAUCAGAAGUGCGAAUGCUGACAUAAGUAACGAUAAAGCGGGUGAAAAGCCCGCUCGCCGGAAGACCAAGGGUUCCUGUCCAACGUUAAUCGGGGCAGGGUGAGUCGACCCCUAAGGCGAGGCCGAAAGGCGUAGUCGAUGGGAAACAGGUUAAUAUUCCUGUACUUGGUGUUACUGCGAAGGGGGGACGGAGAAGGCUAUGUUGGCCGGGCGACGGUUGUCCCGGUUUAAGCGUGUAGGCUGGUUUUCCAGGCAAAUCCGGAAAAUCAAGGCUGAGGCGUGAUGACGAGGCACUACGGUGCUGAAGCAACAAAUGCCCUGCUUCCAGGAAAAGCCUCUAAGCAUCAGGUAACAUCAAAUCGUACCCCAAACCGACACAGGUGGUCAGGUAGAGAAUACCAAGGCGCUUGAGAGAACUCGGGUGAAGGAACUAGGCAAAAUGGUGCCGUAACUUCGGGAGAAGGCACGCUGAUAUGUAGGUGAAGUCCCUCGCGGAUGGAGCUGAAAUCAGUCGAAGAUACCAGCUGGCUGCAACUGUUUAUUAAAAACACAGCACUGUGCAAACACGAAAGUGGACGUAUACGGUGUGACGCCUGCCCGGUGC